CAUGAUUGUAAUUAGAUUGACUUUCUUUUAAGAUGGCUGAUUUUGGUGACACAAUUCUGGACGAGUUUGCAUUCUGUAACGAUUCUGUGGCCAGAGACCCGAUCCAGAACUUAACCUACAAAUUACAAAUUAAGAUAACCUCAAAUUUGGAACUGCUGACUUGGAGUUAGUUAAUUUGAAUCAAAUAAUAAUCUUCUCAAAUAAAUUUUAAUAUGUCGGCGAUUUUCAACUUCCAAAGUCUCCUAACAGUUGUUUUGCUGUUGAUUUGUACGUGCGCCUAUAUCCGAUCAAUGUUUCCCAGUCUUCUGGAUAGGAAUAAAGUUGGGUAAGUAUACAGGGUGCCUACG